CCCUACGGGGCGCACCUUUACCAACUAUCCCUGGGGAAGGGGUUUGAUCAACUUCACGCCUGAAGAAGAAGCCAAGGCGAUGGAAACCUACCGCACCUGGCUGCACCUCUUUGAACUCAACCGCUACUACUCCUGGGUGAUCGACCGCUUUCACAUCUCGACGCAGAUGGUGCAGUGGCUCACCUACGGCAAGCGCUACGACUUCACCUGGCUUGAGGAAGGGUUGCUGCCGCUCAACUUCCGCCUGAUCUUCUGCACACGCUCUCCUGAAACAUUCGUCGAAGCCCGCCAGGAGCGAUUGAAAGUUUCGGGUAAUCCCAGCCAAUAUGAUGAUCUUGAGAAGUUCAAACGGGAGCAGGAGGUGCUCGAGGAAUUGGCGGGGGGGC
rnacentral:rRNA from 1 species